CAGUAUAUUGACUGUACAAAGGUAGCAUAAUCAUUAGUCAUUUAAUUGGUGACUUGUAUGAAAGAUUGGAUGAAAUAUAAACUGUCUCUUAUUUAAUUAUAAAAUUUAAUUUUUUUAUUAAAAAGUUAAAAUAAUUUAAAAAGACGAGAAGACCCUAUAGAGUUUAAUUAAUAGUUUAAUUGAGAUUAUAUGUAAAAUAAAUUUAAAAUUAUAUUUAUUAAUUUUAUUGGGGUGAUAGAAAAAUAUAUUUAACUUUUUUUAAAAGAAAACAUUUAUAAUUGAUUAAAUGAUCCAAUAGUAUUGAUUAUAAGAAUAAAUUACCUUAGGGAUAACAGCGUAAUUUUUUUUUUUAGUUCAAAUAAAAAGGAGAGUUUGCGACCUCGAUGU
rnacentral:rRNA from 1 species